UACGUAGGUGGCAAGCGUUGUCCGGAAUUAUUGGGCGUAAAGCGCGCGCAGGCGGUCCUUUAAGUCUGAUGUGAAAGCCCACGGCUCAACCGUGGAGGGUCAUUGGAAACUGGGGGACUUGAGUACAGAAGAGAAGAGUGGAAUUCCACGUGUAGCGGUGAAAUGCGUAGAGAUGUGGAGGAACACCAGUGGCGAAGGCGACUCUUUGGUCUGUAACUGACGCUGAGGCGCGAAAGCGUGGGGAGCAAACAGGAUUAGAUACCCUGGUAGUCCACGCUGUAAACGAUGAGUGCUAAGUGUUAGAGGGUUUCCGCCCUUUAGUGCUGCAGCUAACGCAUUAAGCACUCCGCCUGGGGAGUACGGCCGCAAGGCUGAA
rnacentral:rRNA from 1 species